rnacentral:tRNA from 1 species
GCGGGCGUGGUGGAAUCGGUAGACACGCCGGCCUUAGGAGCCGGUGCCGCAAGGCAUGGGGGUUCAAGUCCCUCCGCCCGCA